rnacentral:rRNA from 1 species
GAUGAACGCUAGCGGCAGGCUUAAUACAUGCAAGUCGAGGGGUAGCAAGAUUGUAGCAAUACAAUUGUUGACGACCGGCAAACGGGUGCGGAACACGUACACAACCUUCCUACAAGUGGGGAAUAGCCCAGAGAAAUUUGGAUUAAUACCCCGUAACAUAGCGAUGUGGCAUCACAUUGCUAUUAUAGCUUCGGCGCUUGUUGAUGGGUGUGCGGCUGAUUAGAUAGUUGGCGGGGUAACGGCCCACCAAGUCUACGAUCAGUAGCUGAUGUGAGAGCAUGAUCAGCCACACGGGCACUGAGACACGGGCCCGACUCCUACGGGAGGCAGCAGUAAGGAAUAUUGGACAAUGGACGCAAGUCUGAUCCAGCCAUGCCGCGUGAAGGAUUAAGGUCCUCUGGAUUGUAAACUUCUUUUAUAAGGGACGAAAAAAGGUCUUUCUAGAUCGUCUGACGGUACCUUAUGAAUAAGCACCGGCUAACUCCGUGCCAGCAGCCGCCGUAAGAC